CUAAACACGUGUUUCUUUCUCUCUUUAUUUCCGGGGUUCACUAGCCGUGCAUGUACCAGCUUAAGGAUGCAAUCAAGCUAACUGUAAAGCUCGUGAAAAAUGAGCAAAAAACACACCAGGGUCAUAAUGACUCCAUGUUUCUGCUUGGCCACUGAUCAUCGUCCAGGAUAGGAUGGACAUCGAGACAUAUGGAGAUGUGUAGAUUUUUUUUAAAGCAUUCGAGUAAAUUGCUGUAAAACGACAUGGUAGAUUAAAAAGCAGUUAACUUAUGAUGUCUUUCCAUAUAAACCAGAGGUUUUCUAGCCACCUAGUAAUGUUUACAAGGAAUUUAUAUUAAAAUAUUCUACCUACAUAUAAUUGUUAAUGUAAGUAACUUUAACGUGUCUGUGCUGUGCAUGUUAUGAUUGUUUUCUGCUCAGGUUAUAACACUGGAUCUAACAGCAUUUAUUACAUGAGCACAUACACAUUGUCUAUGCAACACGUCAUUAAGUGAUUGCUUUUGGUAUCUCCUUGAUGUUUUCCCACAGGUAAAUUGAUGCACAGAUUGCUAACAGUAACUGGACCUAGUCCUUUCUGAGGUGAACUGAUUGCACAGAUUGCUAACAGGAACUAGUUCUUUCUGAGGUUUUGUGAUGGGUUAGUCAAGUAAACCAAUAUAGAAUCAUCGGUCAUGUGGAGAAUAAAAAAAGGAUGUACAACCCACUCCUUCCCUACUUUGACAUAACAUACUGAUAUGAAUAAAAAAACAACUGAAAA